rnacentral:rRNA from 1 species
AGCGAACGCUGGCGGCAGGCCUAACACAUGCAAGUCGAGCGCCGUAGCAAUACGGAGCGGCAGACGGGAGAGUAACACGUGGGAACGUGCCCUUCAGUUCGGAACAACCCAGGGAAACUUGGGCUAAUACCGGAUACGCCCUUACGGGGAAAGAUUUAUCGCUGAAGGAUCGGCCCGCGUCUGAUUAGCUUGUUGGUGAGGUAACGGCUCACCAAGGCUACGAUCAGUAGCUGGUCUGAGAGGAUGAUCAGCCUCACUGGGACUGAGACACGGCCCAGACUCCUACGGGAGGCAGCAGUGGCGAAUAUUGGACAAUGGGCGCAAGCCUGAUCCAGCCAUGCCGCGUGAGUGAUGAAGGCCUUAGGGUUGUAAAGCUCUUUCGGCGGGGAAGAUAAUGACGGUACCCGCAGAAGAAGCCCCGGCUAACUUCGUGCCAGCAGCCGCCGUAAGAC